AGGCAGCCCCUUUUCUAUAAUUUGACGUGUUACUCUGCCCGUAUAUUAAAUUCGUUUAUGCUCUUCAGAUUUGCUGAGAUAUAUUGAUAUCUUUCAAGCCGGUCUAGUAAGCUUAAGCACAAU